AGAGUUUGAUCAUGGCUCAGGACGAACGCUGGCGGCGUGCUUAACACAUGCAAGUCGAACGGAAAGGCCCUUCGGGGUACUCGAGUGGCGAACGGGUGAGUAACACGUGGGUGAUCUGCCCUGCACUCUGGGAUAAGCCUGGGAAACUGGGUCUAAUACCGGAUAGGACCGCAUGCUUCAUGGUGUGUGGUGCAAAGCUUUUGCGGUGUGGGAUGAGCCCGCGGCCUAUCAGCUUGUUGGUGGGGUAAUGGCCUACCAAGGCGACGACGGGUAGCCGGCCUGAGAGGGUGACCGGCCACACUGGGACUGAGAUACGGCCCAGACUCCUACGGGAGGCAGCAGUGGGGAAUAUUGCACAAUGGGCGCAAGCCUGAUGCAGCGACGCCGCGUGAGGGAUGACGGCCUUCGGGUUGUAAACCUCUUUCAGUAGGGACGAAGCGAAAGUGACGGUACCUACAGAAGAAGGACUGGCCAACUACGUGCCAGCAGCCGCGGUAAUACGUAGGGUCCGAGCGUUGUCCGGAAUUACUGGGCGUAAAGAGCUCGUAGGUGGUUUGUCGCGUUGUUCGUGAAAACUCACAGCUUAACUGUGGGCGUGCGGGCGAUACGGGCAGACUAGAGUACUGCAGGGGAGACUGGAAUUCCUGGUGUAGCGGUGGAAUGCGCAGAUAUCAGGAGGAACACCGGUGGCGAAGGCGGGUCUCUGGGCAGUAACUGACGCUGAGGAGCGAAAGCGUGGGUAGCGAACAGGAUUAGAUACCCUGGUAGUCCAA
rnacentral:rRNA from 1 species